UUAAAUGAAAACAAAAAAAAAAGAGUAGCCUUCGUCUAGGGAUAUUUUGGACUUUAGAAGUUUAAUUAAAUUUGAAUUUUCCCGCUUUUAUGCGCAGUCACGAGACGCCCUCUAUACGGGACUUUACGAACGUACUGGAAAGUACGUAUAACCUUUACGCUGAAAGGAUGACCCGUAAAUUCGUUACACUGAAAGUCAGUUGAAUUCUCAUUUAUAAUUUCUACGCUGUUUCUCUAUAGGAAUUUCGUCCACCAAGGGCUAUCCAAAUAAUGCGGUUGGCCCUCUAUAAUGUACUAGAUAGUAGGUGAAGUCUAUUUCACAAGCAGCUGUGUGGUAUAUACUGGCUGACACAUAGUAAUUCGAAGUUCAAUGAAGUACGGCUAUAUAUAGGAACGCGCGAAGGCCUUUGGCUACAAGUUCGGCGUCGAAAAAAAUUUGAUCGAGGUAUUCAGUACAUGUACCCUUGUUACUGGGGCAAUCACUUUGCCUUACUGACAUCGUGGCACUUCUUGAACGAGGCUACAGGUUUCUUUCAUUUCUGAGAGAGGCAAUCGCACUGUAUACAUGAAAAAGAAAACCAGUGUAUUCUUGAUAACUAGGAAAAGCCAAUAAAUGCAAGAACGAUCGACCUGAGGUGUAUAUGGAUUUCAUAUUCAUACCUGCCUGUGGAAAUGCCUAUUUCGUUAUAGGGUAUAUAAACAUUGGAAACCCAUGGUAAUAUUUACGUUAAAAUAUACAAAAUCGACUUCGGUCGCUUCUUGCGUGUCGGCGUAACUGUACUGGAGCAUAUAAAGAAAAAGUCUGACGCUAUUAAAUUACAUAUUUAUUAGACACUAAUUUGGCAUCGAAAUUAACCGCACGGCGCACGAAGCUGAUACGUGAUCUUCCUGCGGAAGUGAAAGUUACAAGUUGAAACCGCAAAGAUUACAAAGCCUAAACUGAAUUAGAAAAAAAUUAUUUUCUACGUACAAAUAUAAAACGAAAGAACUCGGGAGAAACAAAUAAAUUGCGAAAAUGGAUUGAAAUAAAAAUGUUUUUAUCAAAAGUUUAACACGGUAUCCACCCUGCGGCCCCUCUCCACCAUUCGGCAUUUCCUCUAACUUUUUCACGUCGCCACUAAUUUCCAAUGAUAAGAAGAGCGAAGUCCCAUGAUAAAGCAGAGCACACGGGAUGAGUAAUAAUCUUCGAUAAAUUUUGUGCGAUAACUUUUUUUUUAUUCACAUUGUGUAAAGGUAAGUGUAUGGGGACAGAGCGAGAGAGAAAAAAAAUACAGAGUAUGGAUGAGAAAGAAGGAGAAAAAGGGAGACAAAAAAUAUAAAAAUAUCCUUUAAGAAAAAAGACCUUCUCCGGUAUCCAACCAAAAACUUGACGGGUCGAUGAAUUUAUAAUAGCAAUUAGUCCUGAAGGACAGUAAUAGGGUAAUGGGAAACCGGCAUUGAAGGGGUGUCUUUUCAUAACACGUAAAAUUAAGGGAGGAUUUUGGGCUUUUGUUAAAUUAACAAUCGGCUUAAUUACUUGUCAU